AACGCAAAUUGCGCUCUUGGGUAGCCCUAGGAGCACGCCUCUCUCAGUAUCGGUUCAACAAUCUCUCAGCAGCGUGUUUGGAUAGUUGGAAUAGUUUACUAUUCUUUGAUCUUUCGAACGCGUGUUGGCUGGAUAAUGAGAGUCUGUAUGCUUUGUCGUACAGUCUCUUUAAAUACAUGGAGUAAGCAUAACUAAACGAUUAAAUUCCUUUCACAGUUUAUCAGUUUGGAGGACUCGCAAGAGAUCUUCGAAUAGAAGAAUAGUGAGGGGAAUAGUAGAGUCUCUGACUUUCUGCUUUAUUCGAUAGUGACGUGAAUAUUGGCCUUUAUUGGUCUAACUUUUAUGUUUAUCUAUUUUGAGCUAAGCAAUUAUAAGGUCUAAGAUUUAACGAAACAAUUGUUAUUUAUUAGUUGAUGUUUAUGUAAAGAUAACCAUAUGGCUUUUGUGUUUACACAGAAUCCUGAAUUUUGAUCUGAGAUGAAGCGAGACAACCCCCUGAAUUUAA
rnacentral:misc_RNA from 1 species